rnacentral:rRNA from 1 species
UACAGAGACUGCAAGCGUUAUUCGGAUUCACUGGGCGUAAAGGGUGCGCAGGCGGCCAAGUGUGUCAGGUGUGAAAUCCCGAGGCUUAACCUCGGAACUGCGCCUGAAACUACUUGGCUAGAGUACUGGAGAGGGUAACGGGAUUCACGGUGUAGCAGUGAAAUGCGUAGAUAUCGUGAGGAACACCAGAGGCGAAGGCGGUUACCUGGACAGUUACUGACGCUCAGGCACGAAAGCGUGGGGAGCAAAAGGG